rnacentral:lncRNA from 1 species
UUCUGACACACUUCCUUAGAUGUUAUCUAAGCCCUUGUGCACAAAGUGGGGCCUAGAACCAGCAGUGUUGCCUCACCUGGGAGCUUUUGGGAAUGCAGAAAUGUGUCCUCAUUCCACCAAUUAAAUCAGAGUCUACAUUUUAAUAACAUCUCCAGGAAUUUGUAUGGUCAUUGUAGUUAGAGAAGUACUCUGGGUCUUAUAAUCAUUAGAUUUAGUUUCACCUAGAGUGGGUGGGUAUGCAAAACAGGACAUUUUCUUGCUUUUGACAUGAAUUUUCAAUUUUAUUUCUAAAUAGCAUUUCUGCCAGCCAGUUAGCGGACAAGGUAGAGGAGGCAGUUCUGGAACGUUUGAAACCCCUCUUGGUCAAGGCCCAGGUAAUCUAGUUCAUCUCCUCUGCUUGUCUUUGGAAGUUCUAGAAUAAAAAGAGUUGCCACAGAGGUCGUACUGACCCUUUGUUGGGUCAAGUGUCUCUUUAGCCUGAAGCUGCAUUGCACAGCACAGCCCUCUCUAGACACCUGCAGACCACUGCACACUAUAUUGGUAUGUCCUGUGUUACGGGGAAGGGAAACAGAUGGGGGAAGAAAGGAAAGACUUGCUUUUGGGAGAAGUGAGAUUUUAAUUUGGGGAACAAGCUUUGAUUGCAGUUUCCAUUCCUAACCCCGAAAAUUUAUUUAGUUUCCUGCUUCCACUCUAAUGCUGUCCUCUCUCACCACAGCGAUUUGGAAUGCUUGGCUUUAGGAGAGGGAGAGUAUGACACUUCUCUGCACAAACCAGUACUUUCCUGAAGAUGAAAUAAUAUGUAGCACCACCAAGAGGUUGUGCCAUCCUCCCCUAAACAGUGAGCUAAAUUCUACAGGUCCUGUAGACUCACUGUACAAAUAGAAGCCAUCAUGUUUGGAUGAAUAGAUGAAGCUUAAAUAGGAUGAAUACCAUCUGGGUCCCUGCACAGACCACUAAACUUCUGUGUUUUUAAGUUAAGGAAUGUUGAAUUAUUAUUCAAGUCCAUGGAAACUUCAGGAGUAGUGAACUAAUGGGCUCUUGGUGAUCGAAUCAUCUAGCCUUCUCAUUUUAUCAUUGAGGAAACUGUGGAACAUAGAAGUUGAAUGAUUUGCAUAAAAGGACACAUCUACUGUGGCAGUAUUUACAAAGAUGAGGGAGGAAAAAGCAUGGUGAGCCAAGAGCAACACAUGGCAUUUAUUUUCAUGAAGACAAAGUACUUUAAUUGCUGCAAAAAACCUAGUACUGCUACAGCUGAAGUUAUUCUGGUAACAGCAUCCAUUUGUACUAAUAUGAGUUGUAAGUUUUUAUAAUCCAUGAAUGUAUUUGUCUGUUUUAAUAGAGAGUUAAUUCUUCUACGGAAGCAAAUACUCAUUUGAAGGAUCAUCCAUCAUUUAACACAGCAGCAGCC